rfam:Danio rerio chromosome 4, GRCz11 reference primary assembly.
GCAUUGGUGGUUCACUAGUAGAAUUCUCGCCUGCCACGCGGGAGACCAGGCUCCGAUUCCUGGCCCAUGCA